rnacentral:rRNA from 1 species
GAUGAACGCUGGCGGCGUGCCUAAUACAUGCAAGUCGAGCGAACAGACGAGGAGCUUGCUCCUCUGACGUUAGCGGCGGACGGGUGAGUAACACGUGGAUAACCUACCUAUAAGACUGGGAUAACUUCGGGAAACCGGAGCUAAUACCGGAUAAUAUAUUGAACCGCAUGGUUCAAUAGUGAAAGACGGUUUUGCUGACACUUAUAGAUGGAUCCGCACCGCAUUAGCUAGUUGGUAAGGUAACGGCUUACCAAGGCAACGAUGCGUAGCCGACCUGAGAGAGUGAUCGGCCACACUGGAACUGAGACACGGUCCAGACUCCUACGGGAGGCAGCAGUAGGGAAUCUUCCGCAAUGGGCGAAAGCCUGACGGAGCAACGCCGCGUGAGUGAUGAAGGUCUUCGGAUCGUAAAACUCUGUUAUUAGGGAAGAACAAAUGUGUAAGUAACUAUGCACGUCUUGACGGUACCUAAUCAGAAAGCCACGGCUAACUACGUG